GGAGGAAAGCAGGGGAUCGAAAGACCUUAUGCUUUUGGAGCGGCCGAUGUCUGAUUAGCUAGUUGGUGAGGUAAAGGCUUACCAAGGCGACGAUCAGUAGUUGGUCUGAGAGGACGACCAGCCACACUGGGACUGAGACACGGCCCAGACUCCUACGGGAGGCAGCAGUGGGGAAUUUUGGACAAUGGGCGCAAGCCUGAUCCAGCAAUGCCGUGUGAGUGAAGAAGGCCUUCGGGUUGUAAAGCUCUUUCAGUCGAGAAGAAAAGGUUGUGAUUAAUACUCACAAUCCAUGACGGUAUCGACAGAAGAAGCACCGGCUAACUACGUGCCAGCAGCCGCGGUAAUACGUAGGGUGCGAGCGUUAAUCGGAAUUACUGGGCGUAAAGGGUGCGCAGGCGGCUUUGUAAGUCAGAUGUGAAAUCCCCGGGCUUAACCUGGGAAUUGCGUUUGAAACUACAAGGCUAGA
rnacentral:rRNA from 1 species